AAUACCCCUAGAGGCAUCGCAGGUAUGCCUGCUGUGCCCCGGUAGGUGGCAGAGAGGAGAGAAGCCAUGUCUAUGUUCAGUGUUCUAACCUAUGAACAUCUCAGUGAUUAGGGACCUGACAUU
rnacentral:snoRNA from 1 species